rnacentral:rRNA from 1 species
CCUACGGGGGGCUGCAGUGAGGAAUAUUGGUCAAUGGCCGGAAGGCUGAACCAGCCAAGCCGCGUGAGGGAGGAAGGCGCAGAGCGUCGCAGACCUCUUUUGCCGGGGGACAAAAGGCCGGACUCGUCCGGUCCUGAGGGUACCCGGAGAAAAAGCAUCGGCUAACUCCGUGCCAGCAGCCGCGGUAAUACGGAGGAUGCGAGCGUUAUCCGGAUUCAUUGGGUUUAAGGGGUGCGCAGGCGGGCCUUUAAGCCGGGGGUGAAAUCGCGGGGCUAAACCCCGCCGAGCCGUCGGAACGGGGGGCAUUGAGGGGGGGGGAGGCAGGCGGAAGGCGGGGUGUAGCGGUGAAAUG